rnacentral:rRNA from 1 species
AUACGUAGGUGGCGAGCGUUAUCCGGAAUUACUGGGUGUAAAGGGCGCGUAGGCGGGUAUGCAAGUUGGAUGUGAAAUUCCGGGGCUUAACUCCGGAUUGUCAUCUAAAACUGUGUAUCUUGAGUGUCAGAGGGGAAAGUGGAAUUCCUAGUGGAGUGGUAAAAUGCGUAGAUAUUAGGAGGAACAUCGGUGGCGAAGGCGACUUUCUGGCUGACAACUGACGCUGAGGCGCGAAAGCGUGGGUAGCAAACAGGAUUAGAUACCCUGGUAGUCCACGCCGUAAACGAUGAAUGCUAGGUGUUGGGGAGACUCAGUGCCGCAGUUAACACAAUAAGCAUUCCGCCUGGGGAGUACGGUCGCAAGACUGAA